GUCUGUGAAGGUCCGCGUCUCCGCGCGGCGUGGUGCUCACGGCUGUGGGGAAGCAGGGCGCGCGCCCUGUGGGGCGGGCUCUUGCCUGCGGACAGAUGGAGGGUCACCUUGUUCCGAGGAGAGUCAGGCACCCGAUGUGAGGGAGGAUGUGAAACGGAACGACCCGUUUAGUAUCUGGAAAGUCAAGUAUGUGUUUCAGUUUCCUCGCUUUAGACCUAUUGAGAGCGAACUCAGGACCCUGCACUUGCCAGGCAGGCAUGGCCCCACUGAGCUACAUCCCUGGUCGGAAAUGCAGAUUUAAUAAGGACUCUGCCCAUUGGGGAUGGAACUCCGGUCCUUGCGUUUGCGAAGCAGGCAGCGAAACCACUGAGCUAAAUCCCCGGCAAAACCUCAUCUCUUAAAGGACCCAAGAUAUACCAAUCUUCCCUGGACUGUGCCUUAAUACAGAGGAAUUUUGAGAUAUAAACUGUAGCACUUCUAGGUAUUUGUCAGGUAAAAGGGCCGAAAACCAAGACCAGACCAGGGCACAACAAGCCUUUAUUAAGGAACAGAUCUGCUGGGCUGUCUCUGAACAAAGGAGAGACAAAAAGCAAUACGGCCGGGGCCGGGAGAGUCUUUUGGAGAGACUGGGGUGUGGCUUGUAGGGGCUGAGGUGGGGUUGAGUGAGGUAGUGACUAGGGAAUGGAGGAGCCGGUGACGUCACUAGGUGGUAGGAGGUGAGCUAG
rnacentral:lncRNA from 1 species